rnacentral:rRNA from 1 species
GGCCGCGGGAAUUCGAUUUCUGGUUGAUCCUGCCAGACCCGACUGCUAUCAGAGUGGGACUAAGCCAUGCGAGUCGACGUAGCAAUACGUGGCGAACGGCUCAGUAACACGUAGUCAACAUGCCCGGGGGACGUGGAUAAUCUCGGGAAACUGAGAAUAAACCACGAUAGGUCACGAUUUCUGGAAUGGAUCUUGGCUUAAAUCUACAUGGCCCCUGGAUUGGACUGCGGCCGAUCAGGCUGUUGGUGAGGUAAUGGCCCACCAAACCUAUAACCGGUACGGGCUCUGAGAGGAGGAGCCCGGAGAUGGGCACUGAGACCAGGGCCCAGGCCCUAUGGGGCGCAGCAGGCGCGAAACCUCUGCAAUAGGCGAAAGCCUGACAGGGUUACUCUGAGUGAUUUCCGCUAAGGGGAUCUUUUGGCACCUCUAAAAAUGGUGCAGAAUAAGGGGUGGGCAAGUCUGGUGUCAGCCGCCGCGGUAAUACCAGCACCCCGAGUGGUCGGGACGAUUAUUGGGCCUAAAGCAUCCGUAGCCGGUUCUGCAAGUCUUCCGUUAAAUCCAGCCGCUCAACGGAUGGGCCGCGGAGGAUACUAUAGGACUAGGAGGCGGGAGAGGCAAGCGGUACUCAGUGGGUAGGGGUAAAAUCCUUUGAUCCAUUGAAGACCACCAGUGGCGAAGGCGGCUUGCCAGAACGCGCUCGACGGUGAGGGAUGAAAGCUGGGGGAGCAAACCGGAUUAGAUACCCGGGUAGUCCCAGCUGUAAACGAUGCAGACUCGGUGAUGGGCUAGCCUUGUGCCAGCCCAGUGCCGCAGGGAAGCCGUUAAGUCUGCCGCCUGGGGAGUACGGUCGCAAGACUGAAACUUAAAGGAAUUGGCGGGGGAGCACCACAAGGGGUGAAGCCUGCGGUUCAAUUGGAUUCAACGCCGGAAAUCACUAGUGAAUUC